GACGAACGCUGGCGGCGUGCCUAAUACAUGCAAGUAGAACGCUGAAGGAAGGAGCUUGCUCUUUCCGGAUGAGUUGCGAACGGGUGAGUAACGCGUAGGUAACCUGCCUGGUAGCGGGGGAUAACUAUUGGAAACGAUAGCUAAUACCGCAUAACAGUAGAUGUUGCAUGAUAUCUACUUAAAAGGUGCAAUUGCACCACUACCAGAUGGACCUGCGUUGUAUUAGCUAGUUGGUGAGGUAACGGCUCACCAAGGCGACGAUACAUAGCCGACCUGAGAGGGGGGUCGGGCACACUGGGACUGGGACACGGCCCAGGCCCCCACGGGAAGCAGCAGUAGGGGAACGUCGGCAAUGGACGGAAGUCUGACCGGGCAACGCCGCGGGAGUGAAGAAGGUUUUCGGAUCGUAAAGCUCUGUUGUAAGAGGAGAACGAGUGUGAGAGGGGAAAGUUCACACUGUGACGGUACCUUACCAGAAAGCGACGGCUAACUACGUG
rnacentral:rRNA from 1 species